CGAAAAACAUGGCCCGGGAAGCGUCGGAUAGGAAGCUGUGUGCCGGGGCGUCGGUGUUUAGAGAUGUCCAGCUGUGUUGAUGGAUUGCAUGGACCGGUCACACGUAGCGGAGGGAGAAAGAAAAAAAGGCACCGAUGUCAGGUGCUACAGGCACCUACUAGAGAGAAAUUAGAGCGAUGGGGGGUAGUUUUGGAAGUUGAAUCACAUCCAUCUACCCUCCGCAACUUCAGACGGGAUGAGGCGGGCAGGCGGCGGAUAAGGUCCCGUAACCUUCCGACGAUGGCGCCGCCGAGGAUGGGCCGGGGCCACCGGCGAUCGCAGUGCCGAAGAACAUUUCAGAAGGUACCGCACAAGGGAGCACGGUGUGGAGUAGUGGAUCGUCGUCGACUACACCACCACCAGUGUUAAUGGCGAACAGCGAAUCGCAGUCAGGUGUUUAGGGCCAGUGAGGAGCAGUCCGCGGGAAGGGAUCCGCCAUGGAAGUAGAUACGGCUAUUAGUUUGGGAUGACAAAGAAGAUGGGGAGUAAAGAGGAAUCGUUGAUUGGAGCGGUGUUCUUUCCUCGACCUUGGCAGUUAAAGAGGAAACGAUCAAGUCUGUAAUCUGGUAUACUGCUGGGCAGGAAAGAUACCAUAGCUUCCCCAAUCCCCCAUGUACACUAUAGGGCUGCUGCUGCUGCCGUAGUCGUCUAUGACAUCACAAAUUUGGUUCGUAAAACAUAAAUGGCUUAUUUGCACAAUAUAAAUUGAUGCAUUAGGAUUUAAUACCCAGCAA